UACUAUUUUCGUAACAAGGAUCGUCUUC
rnacentral:sRNA from 1 species